rnacentral:rRNA from 1 species
AAGGAUCAUUAACAUGUAAUCCAGUCAUGCCGCUGCGUGAGCUGUAUAUACCCACCCUGCGUACGCUGUCCUGUUGCUUCCGCCGGGCGUAUACAUAUAUUUGUCUACGCCCGGCGGAAGGGAAAGAAUAACCUCCGAGUCUAACUACGGAAUCUGUCUGAAUGAAUCGGAACAACGAAACGUUAAAACUUUCAGCAACGGAUCUCUUGGUUCUCGCAUCGAUGAAGAACGCAGCGAAAUGCGAUAAGUAGUGUGAAUUGCAGAAUCUAGUGAAUCAUCGAAUCUUUGAACGCACAUUGCGCCUUCUGGUAUUCCGGGAGGCAUGCCUGUUCGAGAGUCAUUGACAACCAUUUCGAAUGCCCCCGUUCCCCCCGUUCUCGAGGGGUUCUGGUGAGGUAUUCGUUCUUGGAGGCGGAGGAAUGAGUUGCCCGGCUUGCCCGCCAUGUUGGGCAAAUCUCCUCCCCCCUGAAAUUCGGCGACGGGCCUUUUUUCUUCCUAUUGGUGGUGGGAUUGAAGGCGUUAUAAAUGCUCCCCGGCCCCCCGGGUAGAUUGCGCCAAUCCCCUCAACUUCUGAAGUUUGCCAGUCGGUCUUGCGUUCAUCAACCCGCAUCGUGAUGGAUGAUGGUUUCGUUUACGGCGAUGUGCGGAGGCUCUUCUCCAUCGCGGAGCCAGCCUUGUACCCGUGACGACUGUGUUGGCCGACAUGUUGCCUACGGCCAUACUUCUGGCCCGUAGCAAUUCUCGGGACCGCAGGACGGACUCUAGCCGACGGAGUCAGGAAGAACCAAGUGCCCAAGCCACGACGUUAUAAAUCAAAGGUUGACCUCGGAUCAGGUAGGGAUACCCGCUGAACUUAA